UACGUAGGGUGCAAGCGUUGUCCGGAAUUAUUGGGCGUAAAGAGCUCGUAGGCGGUCUGUCGCGUCUGCUGUGAAAACUCAGGGCUUAACCCUGAGCUUGCAGUGGGUACGGGCAGACUAGAGUGCGGUAGGGGAGACUGGAAUUCCUGGUGUAGCGGUGAAAUGCGCAGAUAUCAGGAGGAACACCGGUGGCAAAGGCGGGUCUCUGGGCCGUAACUGACGGCUGGAGGAGCGAAAGCAUGGGGAGCGAACAGG
rnacentral:rRNA from 1 species